UCAGAAAGAACCAACUCCAGAUACGCC
rnacentral:piRNA from 1 species